rnacentral:rRNA from 1 species
CCUACGGGAGGCAGCAGUGAGGAAUAUUGGUCAAUGGACGAGAGUCUGAACCAGCCAAGUAGCGUGAAGGAUGACUGCCCUAUGGGUUGUAAACUUCUUUUAUAUGGGAAUAAAACGUUCCACGUGUGGGAUUUUGUAUGUACCAUAUGAAUAAGGAUCGGCUAACUCCGUGCCAGCAGCCGCGGUAAUACGGAGGAUCCGAGCGUUAUCCGGAUUUAUUGGGUUUAAAGGGAGCGUAGGUGGAUUGUUAAGUCAGUUGUGAAAGUUUGCGGCUCAACCGUAAUAGUGCAGUUGAAACUGGCAGUCUUGAGUACAGUAGAGGUGGGCGGAAUUCGUGGUGUAGCGGUGAAAUGCUUAGAUAUCACGAAGAACUCCGAUUGCGAAGGCAGUUCACUGGACUGCAACUGACACUGAGGCUCGAAAGUGUGGGUAUCAAACAGGAUUAGAUACCCUUGUAGUC